UACAGAGGGGGCAAGCGUUAUUCGGAAUUAUUGGGCGUAAAGGGCGCGUAGGCGGCUUUGCAAGUGGCGGGUGAAAUCCCUCGGCUUAACCGAGGAACUGCCUGUCAAACUGCAUGGCUUGAGACCAGGAGAGGUGAGUGGAAUUCCCAGUGUAGCGGUGAAAUGCGCAGAUAUCAGGAGGAACACCGGUGGCGAAGGCGGGUCUCUGGGCCGAUACUGACGCUGAGGAGCGAAAGCGUGGGGAGCGAACAGG
rnacentral:rRNA from 1 species